CCGGGUUGAUGCUGCCUGUGGAAUAUGCUUGUCUCAGAGCUUAAGCGAUCUGUGUCCAAGUAUGCACGGGCGGUACAGUGAAACUGUGAAUGGCUCCUUAAAUCAGUUACAGUUCCUUUGGUCACUCCUCUUGCACUCUUGGGAUAACUGGUAACUCUAGCACUAAUACAUGUUGAUGAGCGCCAGCCUCCAGGGACAUGUGCAUUUAUCAGACCAAAACUGACCCAGGCCCGCCCGGCAGUUUUGGUGACUCUAGAUGACCUUGAGCUGAUUGCCCGUCCCCACGGUGGCAGUGACCCAUUCAAAUGUCUCCCCUAUCAACUUUCAGUGGUACUGACUGUGCCUACCAUGGUGACCACAGGGGAAUCAGUGUUCAAAUCCAGAGAGGGAACCUGAGAAAUGGCUACAAUGUCCAAGGAAGGCAGCAGACGCACAAAUUACCCCCUCCCAACCCAGGGAGGUAGUGACGAAAAAUAACAAUACAGGACUCUUUUGAGGCCCUGUAAUUCAAAUGAGUGCACUUUACAUCCUUGAGAGAGGAUCUAUUGGAGGGCAAGUCUGCUGCUACCAGCCGUGGUAAUUCCGGCUCCAAUAGCCUAUCUUAAAGUUGCUGCAGUUAAAAAGCUUGUAGUUGGAUCUUGGGAACGAGCUGGCAGUCUGCCGCGAGGCGAGCCACUGCCUGUCCCAGCCCCUGCCUCUUGAAACCCCCUCAAUGCUCUUAGCUGAGUGUCCCGUGGGGCCUGAAGCAUUUUACUUUGAGAAAAUUAGAGUGUUCAAAGCAGGCCGGGCUCCAGCAUACUGCAGCUAGGAAUAAUGGAAUAGGACUCGUAUUUUGCUGGUUUUCGAAAGCGGGACCAUGAUUAAGAGGAAUGGCCACUAGAGAUGAAAUUCUUGGACUAGUGGAAGACGGCCUCGAGUGAAAGCAUUUACCAAGAACGUUUUCAUUAAUCAAGAACAAAAGUUGGAGGUUCAAAGAUGAUCAGAUACUGUCGUAGUUCUGACCAUAAACAAUGCCGACUGGUGAUCUGGCAGCGUUAUUCCCAUGACCCACUGGGCAGCUCCCAGGAAACCCAAGUCUUUGGGUUCCAGGAGAGUAUGGUUGCAGAGCUGAAACUUAGAGGAAUUGACGGAAGGGCACCACCAGGAGUUGGAGCCUGUGGCUUAAUUUGAUUCAACACAGGAAACCUCACCUGGCCCGGACAUGGACUGGGUUGAGAGAUUGAAAGCUCUUCCUCGAUUCCAUGGGUGGUGGUGCAUGGCCCUUCUUAGUUGGUGGAGCAAUUUGGUUAAUUCUGAUAACAAACGAGAUUCUGUCAUGCUAACUAGUUACACAGCGCCCAAGCAGUGGGCAUCCAAGUUCUUACAGGGACGAGUGGUGUUCAGUCACCCAAGAUUGAGCAAUAACAGAUCUGUGAUGCCCUUACAUGUCCAGGACCGCAUUUGUGCUAUGCUGGCUGGCUCAGCUUGUGCCUGCCCUCCACCAGCAGGUGUGGGUAACCCAUUGAACCCCAUUCAUGGUGGGGAUUGGGGAUUGCAAUUCUUGCCCAUGAAUGAGGAAUUCCCAGUAAGUGUGGGUCAUAAGCUCGUGUUGAUGUAGUCCCUGCCCUGCCCGUCGCUACUACUCAUUGAAUGGUUUAGCGAGGUCCUCAGAUCGGCUCCAGUCCUGCUGGCGUGUUGAGCAGACAGUGAAACUUGGCUAUCUAGAGGAAGUAAAAGUAGUAACAAGGUUUUCAUAGGUGAACCUGCAGAAG
rnacentral:rRNA from 1 species